rnacentral:tRNA from 1 species
GAGAGUGUAGCUCAGUGGAAGAGUGGGUGCUUAACAUGCACAGGGUCCUGGGUUCGAUCCCCAGUAUCUCCA